rnacentral:rRNA from 1 species
AACGAACGCUGGCGGCAGGCUUAACACAUGCAAGUCGAGCGCGUAGCAAUACGAGCGGCAGACGGGUGAGUAACGCGUGGGAAUCUACCGUACCCUACGGAAUAGCUCUGGGAAACUGGAGGUAAUACCGUAUACGCCCUAACAGGGAAAGAUUUAUCGGGGUAUGAUGAGCCCGCGUUGGAUUAGCUAGUUGGUGGGGUAAAGGCCUACCAAGGCGACGAUCCGUAGCUGGUCUGAGAUGAGGAUCAGCCAAAUUGGGACUGAGACACGGCCCAAACUCCUACGGGAGGCAGCAGUGGGGAAGAGUGGACAAUGGGCGCAAGCCUGAUCCAGCCAUGCCGCGUGAGUGAUGAAGGUCUUAGGAUUGUAAAGCUCUUUCACCGAUGAAGAUAAUGACGGUAGUCGGAGAAGAAGCCCCGGCUAACUUCGUGCCAGCCGCCGCAGUAACAC